rnacentral:rRNA from 1 species
UACAGAGGGUGCUAGCGUUAAUCGGAUUUACUGGGCGUAAAGCGUGUGUAGGCGGUUCGUUAAGUCGGGUGUGAAAUCCCUGGGCUCAACCCGGGAAUUGCAUUCGAUACUGGCGAGCUAGAGUACGGUAGAGGGCGGCGGAAUUCCGGGUGUAGCGGUGAAAUGCGUAGAUAUCCGGAGGAACACCGAUGGCGAAGGCGGGUCUCUGGGCAACAACUGACGCUGAGGAGCGAAAGCGUGGGGAGCGAACAGG